GCCUACGGGGGGCAGCAGUAGGGAAUUUUCGUCAAUGGGCGCAAGCCUGAACGAGCAAUGCCGCGUGAACGAGGAAGGUCUUCGGAUCGUAAAGUUCUGUUGAAGGGGAAAAAGAGCGGAGAGAGGAAAUGGUCUCCGAUUGAUAUUACCCUUCGAGGAAGUCACGGCCAACUACGUGCCAGCAGCCGCGGUAGUACGUAGGUGGCGAGCGUUAUCCGGAAUGAUUGGGCGUAAAGGGUGCGUAGGCGGCCUGCUAAGUCUGGAGUGAAAGGUACCGGCUCGACCGGUACAGGCUCUGGAAACUG
rnacentral:rRNA from 1 species